UACGAAGGGGGCGAGCGUUGUUCGGAUUUACUGGGCGUAAAGGGCGCGCAGGCGGCGAGUUUUGUCAGGCGUGAAAGCCCCGGGCUCAACCUGGGAAUUGCGCUUGAAACGGGCUUGCUAGAGAUCGGGAGAGGAGAGUGGAAUUCCCAGUGUAGAGGUGAAAUUCGUAGAUAUUGGGAAGAACACCAGUGGCGAAGGCGGCUCUCUGGACCGAUACUGACGCUGAGGCGCGAAAGCGUGGGGAGCAAACAGGG
rnacentral:rRNA from 1 species